rnacentral:rRNA from 1 species
UACGUAGGGGGCAAGCGUUGUCCGGAUUUAUUGGGCGUAAAGAGCGUGUAGGCGGCCAAGCAGGUCCGCUGUGAAAACUCGAGGCUCAACCUCGAGACGUCGGUGGAAACCGUUUAGCUAGAGUCCGGAAGAGGAGAGUGGAAUUCCCGGUGUAGCGGUGAAAUGCGCAGAUAUCGGGAAGAACACCCGUGGCGAAGGCGGCUCUCUGGGACGGUACUGACGCUGAGACGCGAAAGCGUGGGGAGCGAACAGG